AGGCGGGAGCCGGAAGCCCAGCGCGGAGCCGGCCGCGGCCCCCUGUUGUGUUGCUGCGGAGAGGUACUUGGAUGCAUUUUACAGGUUAGCCUCACUUGAGCUGUUGUCCUGCAAGUAAAGUGUAUUUUUGGUGAUUGAAAGUUGGAGAACUUUCAUUUCAGCUGAGUGGUGUAGUUGAAUUGGUUCCUGUAGCCGCUGUCCCUAAACCCAGGCCGACGUUACCGCCUUGUGUCCUGACUGCUAGCUUUCGACGGGACCGUCUUUGAGGGACUCAUGUAAAGUCUCUCCCUUAAUGCUCAGUUCUUAGAAGACCGAGGAUCAUAAAGAUCAAGUAACUUGUGUAACAUACAAUUGGAAUGAUUGCUACAUUGCUUCUGGAUCUCUUAGUGGUGAAAUUAUUUUACACAGUGUAACCACUAAUUUAUCUAGUACUCCUUUUGGCCAUGGUAGUAACCAGUCUGUUCGGCACUUGAAGUACUCCUUGUUUAAGAAAUCACUACUGGGCAGUGUUUCGGAUAAUGGAAUAGUAACUCUCUGGGAUGUAAAUAGUCAGAGUCCAUACCAUAACUUUGACAGUGUACACAAAGCUCCAGCGUCAGGCAUCUGUUUUUCUCCUGUCAAUGAAUUGCUCUUUGUAACCAUAGGCUUGGAUAAAAGAAUCAUCCUCUAUGACACUUCAAGUAAGAAGCUAGUGAAAACUUUAGUGGCUGACACUCCUCUAACUGCGGUAG
rnacentral:lncRNA from 1 species